UACGUAGGGCGCAAGCGUUGUCCGGAAUUAUUGGGCGUAAAGAGCUCGUAGGCGGCUUGUUACGUCGGCUGUGAAAACCCGCGGCUCAACCGCGGGCCUGCAGCCGAUACGGGCAGGCUAGAGUUCGGUAGGGGAGACUGGAAUUCCUGGUGUAGCGGUGAAAUGCGCAGAUAUCAGGAAGAACACCAAUGGCGAAGGCAGCUCUCUGGGACGGUACUGACGCUGAGACGCGAAAGCGUGGGGAGCGAACAGG
rnacentral:rRNA from 1 species